UAGGGAAUAUUGCGCAAUGGGGGUAACCCUGACGCAGCAACGCCGCGUGAGUGAGGAAGGCCUUCGGGUUGUAAAGCUCUGUUCUUAAGGAAAAAUGAUUUAUGUGCAAAUAGUAUAUAGAUUUGAUGGUACUUGAGGAGAAAGCACCGGCUAACUUCGUGCCAGCAGCCGCGGUAAUACGAAGGGUGCAAGCGUUGUUCGGAUUUAUUGGGCGUAAAGGGCGUGUAGGCGGAAAAUUAAGUCAGGUGUGAAAUCUCGGGGCCUAACCCCGAAAUUGCGCCUGAAACUGUUUUUCUAGAAUUCCAAAGGGGGACAGGGAAUUUCGCAUGUAGGAGUAAAAUCCGUAGAGAUGCGAAGGAACACCUGAGGCGAAGGCGCUGUCCUGGUUGGAAAUUGACGC
rnacentral:rRNA from 1 species